rnacentral:rRNA from 1 species
CUAGCUACAGGCUUAACACAUGCAAGUCGAGGGGCAGCAUGGUCUUAGCUUGCUAAGGCCGAUGGCGACCGGCGCACGGGUGAGUAACACGUAUCCAACCUGCCGUCUACUCUUGGACAGCCUUCUGAAAGGAAGAUUAAUACAAGAUGGCAUCAUGAGUCCGCAUGUUCACAUGAUUAAAGGUAUUCCGGUAGACGAUGGGGAUGCGUUCCAUUAGAUAGUAGGCGGGGUAACGGCCCACCUAGUCUUCGAUGGAUAGGGGUUCUGAGAGGAAGGUCCCCCACAUUGGAACUGAGACACGGUCCAAACUCCUACGGGAGGCAGCAGUGAGGAGUAUUGGUCAAUGGGCGAGAGCCUGAACCAGCCAAGUAGCGUGAAGGAUGACUGCCCUAUGGGUUGCAAACUUCUUUUAUAAAGGAAUAAAGUCGGGUAUGGAUACCCGUUUGCAUGUACUUUAUGAAUAAGGAUCGGCUAACUCCGUGCCAGCAGCCGCGGUAAUACGGAGGAUCCGAGCGUUAUCCGGAUUUAUUGGGUUUAAAGGGAGCGUAGAUGGAUGUUUAAGUCAGUUGUGAAAGUUUGCGGCUCAACCGUAAAAUUGCAGUUGAUACUGGAUAUCUUGAGUGCAGUUGAGGCAGGCGGAAUUCGUGGUGUAGCGGUGAAAUGCUUAAGAUAUCACGAAGAACUCCCGAUUGCGAAGGCAGCCUGCUAAGCUGCAACUGACAUUGAGGCUCGAAAGUGUGGGUAUCAAACAGGAUUAGAUACCCUGGUAGUCCACACGGUAAACGAUGAAUACUCGCUGUUUGCGAUAUACUGCAAGCGGCCAAGCGAAAGCGUUAAGUAUUCCACCUGGGGAGUACGCCGGCAACGGUGAAACUCAAAGGAAUUGACGGGGGCCCGCACAAGCGGAGGAACAUGUGGUUUAAUUCGAUGAUACGCGAGGAACCUUACCCGGGCUUAAAUUGCAGAUGAAUUACGGUGAAAGCCGUAAGCCGCAAGGCAUCUGUGAAGGUGCUGCAUGGUUGUCGUCAGCUCGUGCCGUGAGGUGUCGGCUUAAGUGCCAUAACGAGCGCAACCCUUGUUGUCAGUUACUAACAGGUUCCGCUGAGGACUCUGACAAGACUGCCAUCGUAAGAUGUGAGGAAGGUGGGGAUGACGUCAAAUCAGCACGGCCCUUACGUCCGGGGCUACACACGUGUUACAAUGGGGGGUACAGAGGGCCGCUACCACGCGAGUGGAUGCCAAUCCCCAAAACCUCUCUCAGUUCGGACUGGAGUCUGCAACCCGACUCCACGAAGCUGGAUUCGCUAGUAAUCGCGCAUCAGCCACGGCGCGGUGAAUACGUUCCCGGGCCUUGUACACACCGCCCGUCAAGCCAUGGGAGCCGGGGGUACCUGAAGUGCGUAACCGCGAGGAGCGCCCUAGGGUAAAACUGGUGACUGGGGCUAAG